GACGAACGCUGGCGGCGUGCUUAACACAUGCAAGUCGAACGGAAAGGCCUCUUUCGGGGGGUACUCGAGUGGCGAACGGGUGAGUAACACGUGAGUAACCUGCCCUUGACUUUGGGAUAACUUCAGGAAACUGGGGCUAAUACCGGAUAGGAGCUCCUGCUGCAUGGUGGGGGUUGGACAGUUUCGGCGGUUGGGGAUGGACUCGCGGCUUAUCAGCUUGUUGGUGGGGUAGUGGCUUACCAAGGCUUUGACGGGUAGCCGGCCUGAGAGGGUGACCGGCCACAUUGGGACUGAGAUACGGCCCAGACUCCUACGGGAGGCAGCAGUGGGGAAUAUUGCACAAUGGGUGGAAGCCUGAUGCAGCAACGCCGUGUGCGGGAUGACGGCCUUCGGGUUGUAAACCGAUUUCGCUCAUGACGAAGCUUUGUGUGACGGUAGUGGGUAAAGAAGCACCGGCUAACUACGUG
rnacentral:rRNA from 1 species